GCCCGGGUGGUGGAAUGGUAGACACUGGGGACUUAAAAUCCCCUGCCCGAAAGGGCGUGCGGGUUCGAGUCCCGCCCCGGGCACCA
rnacentral:tRNA from 2 species